AACUUUGCGGUACGAUUUGAAUUAACCGGAUAAGUUGGGGGCGAUUGUUAAAAGCGUGUUCCACUCAUGAGUCAUGCCAUCUUCACCACCAUAUUCUGGAUUCGCACUCCGUAGCGAUGAGAAUGGCUCUCAAUUCCAAAUUCAUGCAACUUUAUGUAAGGUUAUGAUCUGUUGUUGGGUUCGAUCGCCGCUUUUUAUGUGUUCAUGGCACCUUACACAAAGGUCGGAGAAAGCUUCAAUGUUCAGGCAAUGCACGACAUAUUAUAUCAUCGGCAUCAGAUAGAGAAGUAUGAUCACUUGGAAUUUCCUGGAGUUGUUCCUCGUACAUUUAUAGGAUCUGGGCCCUGUCAAUUUGAGAUCUAGAAGGGGGCUCCUCAAGAUUCUCGAAAUUGAUCACUGCAAUG